GGCCGAGCGGUCUAAGGCGCUGG
rnacentral:piRNA from 2 species